GAAUCGAACCGAAAUGGUCUAGAAGCGUUGGCCUUUUUUUUUCUUUCUUUUCUUUCUUUUUCUUUUCCUUCCUUUCCUUCUUCUCCAGGCGCGCGAUCCCUCCCUCCUCCCUCUCCUUCUGUCUCCGGCCACCAGACUGACGAUGGUGGGUGGCGAUCGAUCCCUCUCUUGCCACCGGUCACGUUGCCAUCAUCAGUCAUGCCGAUCAGGCCCUCAGCAGCGACGACGCGAGCUCUUCCCCGGCGACACGACUGCCUCCUCUGUACCAAUGCGAUUCUCCGGUGAGGCUCGACGAUAUCGGUGAUCUUCUAUGGCUUAGCUCGAUAGAUGGCGUGAACGACACUUGGUUCUGGGCAUCUGCGACUUUCCGGCCACCGUAUACGGCGGCAUUCCGGUGACCGGCCGGCGAGACUCGAGCGAGGACUCCGAGAGGCAGAAUGAUCUCCUCUUCGCGCGGGUCGCGGAAAUCAAAUCCGAUUUUCCAUCGGGACAUUGUAAGGCUUAGUUGUCCAUUUUCGGUAUAAAAUUGACAACGUGAAUUAAUUAAUUAAUUGGA